UGAAGUGCAGAAGAGGGCAGUGGAACUCCAUGUGUAGCGGUGAAAUGCGUAGAUAUAUGGAAGAACACCAGUGGCGAAGGCGGCUGUCUGGUCUGUAACUGACGCUGAGGCUCGAAAGUAUGGGUAGCAAACAGGAUUAGAUACCCUGGUAGUCCAUACCGUAAACGAUGAAUGCUAAGUGUUGGAGGGUUUCCGCCCUUCAGUGCUGCAGCUAACGCAUUAAGCAUUCCGCCUGGGGAGUACGGCCGCAAGGCUGAAACUCAAAGGAAUUGACGGGGGCCCGCACAAGCGGUGGAGCAUGUGGUUUAAUUUGAAGCUACGCGAAGAACCUUACCAGGUCUUGACAUACUAUGCAAAUCUAAGAGAUUAGACGUUCCCUUCGGGGACAUGGAUACAGGUGGUGCAUGGUUGUCGUCAGCUCGUGUCGUGAGAUGUUGGGUUAAGUCCCGCAACGAGCGCAACCCUUAUUAUCAGUUGCCAGCAUUAAGUUGGGCACUCUGGUGAGACUGCCGGUGACAAACCGGAGGAAGGUGGGGAUGACGUCAAAUCAUCAUGCCCCUUAUGACCUGGGCUACACACGUGCUACAAUGGAUGGUACAACGAGUUGCGAACUCGCGAGAGUAAGCUAAUCUCUUAAAGCCAUUCUCAGUUCGGAUUGUAGGCUGCAACUCGCCUACAUGAAGUCGGAAUCGCUAGUAAUCGCGGAUCAGCAUGCCGCGGUGAAUACGUUCCCGGGCCUUGUACACACCGCCCGUCACACCAUGAGAGUUUGUAACACCCAAAGUCGGUGGGGUAACCUUUUAGGAACCAGCCGCCUAAGGUGGGACAGAUGAUUAGGGUGAAGUCGUAACAAGAGCAG
rnacentral:rRNA from 2 species